rnacentral:rRNA from 1 species
GACGAACGCUGGCGGCGUGCCUAAUACAUGCAAGUUGAGCGCUGAAGGUUGGUACUUGUACCAACUGGAUGAGCAGCGCACGGGUGAGUAACGCGUGGGGAAUCUGCCUUUGAGCGGGGGACAACAUUUGGAAACGAAUGCUAAUACCGCAUAAAAACUUUAAACACAAGUUUUAAGUUUGAAAGAUGCAAUUGCAUCACUCAAAGAUGAUCCCGCGUUGUAUUAGCUAGUUGGUGAGGUAAAGGCUCACCAAGGCGAUGAUACAUAGCCGACCUGAGAGGGUGAUCGGCCACAUUGGGACUGAGACACGGCCCAAACUCCUUCGGGAGGCAGCAGUAGGGAAUCUUCGGCAAUGGACGAAAGUCUGACCGAGCAACGCCGCGGGAGUGAACAAGGUUGUCGGAUCGUAAAACUCUGUUGGUAGAGAAGAAAGUGGGUGAGAGUGGAAAGCUCAUCAAGUGACGGUAACUACCCAGAAAGGGACGGCUAACUACGUG